rnacentral:rRNA from 1 species
CAUUACCGAGAGAAGGGGUCGAACAGGCCUCGCUCUUCACCCGUGAAUUUCUACCUCUGUUGCUUUGGCGGGCCGUCGGCUUGAUUCCGACGUCGGUCUUCGAGUGCUUGCUCGACGCCCGGCGAGCGCUCGCCAGAGGCUCUCUAAACCCUUGCAUAAACGACGUCCGAGCAAAUAUUGAAUCAGUAAAAACUUUCAACAACGGAUCUCUUGGUUCUGGCAUCGAUGAAGAACGCAGCGAAAUGCGAUAAGUAAUGUGAAUUGCAGAAUUCAGUGAAUCAUCGAAUCUUUGAACGCACAUUGCGCCCUCUGGUAUUCCGGGGGGCAUGCCUGUUCGAGCGUCAUUGCAACCUCAAGCAUUGCUUGGUACUGGGCCUCGCCCCCGCGGCGUGCCUGAAAUUUGGUGGCGGUCCGUCGAGACUUCAAGCGUAGCAAGAUUUUUGAUCCCGCUUUGGAAGCUUCGCGGCGCGACCCGUCAAACCUCCAUGACCUUUCCACGAUUGACCUCGGAUCAGGUAGGGAUACCCGCUGAACUUAAGCAUAUCAAUAAGCGGAGGAAAAGAAACCAACAGGGAUUGCCUCAGUAACGGCGAGUGAAGCGGCAACAGCUCAAAUUUGAAAUCUGGCCCCUCCGGGGUCCGAGUUGUAAUUUGAAGAGGGUGUUUCGGGUGAGGCACCGGCCUAAGUCCCUUGGAACAGGGCGUCAUAGAGGGUGAGAAUCCCGUCUGCGGCCGGUGACCGAGUCCAUGUGAAACCCCUUCGACGAGUCGAGUUGUUUGGGAAUGCAGCUCUAAAUGGGUGGUAUAUUUCAUCUAAAGCUAAAUACCGGCCAGAGACCGAUAGCGCACAAGUAGAGUGAUCGAAAGAUGAAAAGCACUUUGGAAAGAGAGUUAAAAAGUACGUGAAAUUGUUGAAAGGGAAGCGCUUGCCACCAGACCUGUCGUCGGGUGAUCAGCCGUCGUUCUCGACGGUGCACUCGCCCGUUCGCAGGCCAGCAUCGGUUCGGGCGGUCGGAUAAAGGCCCCGGGAAUGUAGCUUCCUCCGGGGAGUCUUAUAGCCCGGGGUGCAAUGCGGCCAGCCGGGACCGAGGACCGCGCUUCGGCAAGGAUGCUGGCGUAAUGGUUGCAAGCGGCCCGUCUUGAAACACGGACCAAGGAGUCUAACAUCUAUGCGAGUGUUUGGGUGUCAAACCCGUGCGCGGAAUGAAAGUGAACGGAGGUGGGAACCCCUUGAGGGCGCACCAUCGACCGAUCCAGAUGUCUUCGGAUGGAUUUGAGUAAGAGCAUAGCUGUUGGGACCCGAAAGAUGGUGAACUAUGCCUGA